rnacentral:rRNA from 1 species
UGGGGAAUCUUGCACAAUGGGGGAAACCCUGAUGCAGCGACGCCGCGUGAGCGAUGAAGCCCUUCGGGGUGUAAAGCUCUUUCGGCAGGGAAGAUGAUGACGGUACCUGCAAAGGCAGCUGCGGCUAACUACGUGCCAGCAGCCGCGGUAAUACGUAGGCAGCAAGCGUUGUUCGGAGUUACUGGGCGUAAAGGGUGUGUAGGCGGUUCUUUAAGUUUGGUGUGAAAUCUCCCGGCUCAACUGGGAGGGUGCGCCGAAUACUGAGGGACUCGAGUGCGGGAGAGGAAAGUGGAAUUCCUGGUGUAGCGGUGAAAUGCGUAGAUAUCAGGAGGAACACCGGUGGUGUAAACGGCUUUCUGGACCGUAACUGACGCUGAGACACGAAAGCGUGGGUAGCAAACA